rnacentral:rRNA from 2 species
UACCGCGAAGAACCUUACCAGGUCUUGACAUCCUCUGAAAACUCUAGAGAUAGAGCUUCUCCUUCGGGAGCAGAGUGACAGGUGGUGCAUGGUUGUCGUCAGCUCGUGUCGUGAGAUGUUGGGUUAAGUCCCGCAACGAGCGCAACCCUUGAUCUUAGUUGCCAUCAUUAAGUUGGGCACUCUAAGGUGACUGCCGGUGACAAACCGGAGGAAGGUGGGGAUGACGUCAAAUCAUCAUGCCCCUUAUGACCUGGGCUACACACGUGCUACAAUGGACGGUACAAAGAGCUGCAAGACCGCGAGGUGGAGCUAAUCUCAUAAAACCGUUCUCAGUUCGGAUUGUAGGCUGCAACUCGCCUACAUGAAGCUGGAAUCGCUAGUGAUCGCGGAUCAGCAUGCCGCGGUGAAUACGUUCCCGGGCCUUGUACACACCG